rnacentral:rRNA from 1 species
AGGAUGAACGCUGGCGGCGUGCCUAAUACAUGCAAGUCGAGCGGUAAGCUACUUCGGUAGUACACGAGCGGCGGACGGGUGAGUAAGGCAUCGGAAUCUGCCCUGAUGUGGGGGAUAACGUAGGGAAACUUACGCUAAUACCGCAUACGACCGAGAGGUGAAAGCGGGGGACCGAAAGGCCUCGCGCAGCAGGAUGAGCCGAUGUCCGAUUAGCUGGUUGGNGGGGUAACGGCCCACCAAGGCGACGAUCGGUAGCUGGUCUGAGAGGAUGAUCAGCCACACUGGGACUGAGACACGGCCCAGACUCCUACGGGAGGCAGC